GAUGAACGCUGGCGGCGUGCCUAAUACAUGCAAGUCGAGCGAACAGACGAGGAGCUUGCUCCUCUGACGUUAGCGGCGGACGGGUGAGUAACACGUGGAUAACCUACCUAUAAGACUGGGAUAACUUCGGGAAACCGGAGCUAAUACCGGAUAAUAUAUUGAACCGCAUGGUUCAAUAGUGAAAGACGGUUUUGCUGUCACUUAUAGAUGGAUCCGCGCCGCAUUAGCUAGUUGGUAAGGUAACGGCUUACCAAGGCAACGAUGCGUAGCCGACCUGAGAGGGGGUCCGGCACACUGGGAACUGAGACAGGGCCCAGACUCCUAGGGGAGGCAGCAGAAGGGAAUCUCCCGAAAGGGGCGAAAGCCUGCGGGAGAAACGCGGGGGGAGUGAUGAAGUUCUUGGGAUCGUAAAACUUUGUUAUUAGGAAAGAAAAAAUGUUAAAGUAACAAUCCACUUUUUGGCGGUACCAAAUAAAAAAGCCGCGGCUAACUACGU
rnacentral:rRNA from 1 species